rnacentral:rRNA from 1 species
AUGGCUCAGGAUGAACGCUGGCGGCGUGCCUAACACAUGCAAGUCGAACGGGUUAAGGGAAAUUUCGGAUGGAACUUAGCUUAGUGGCGGACGGGUGAGUAACGCGUGGAUAACCUGCCUCACACUGGGGGAUAGCAGCUGGAAACGGCUGGUAAUACCGCAUAAGACCACGGUGCCGCAUGGCACAGGGGUAAAAGAUUUAUCGGUGUGAGAUGGAUCCGCGUCUGAUUAGCCAGUUGGCGGGGUAACGGCCCACCAAAGCGACGAUCAGUAGCCGGCCUGAGAGGGUGAACGGCCACACUGGGACUGAGACACGGCCCAAACUCCUACGGGAGGCAGCAGUGGGGAAUAUUGCACAAUGGGCGCAAGCCUGAUGCAGCAACGCCGCCGUGAGUGAAGAAGUAUUUCGGUAUGUAAAGCUCUAUCGGCAGGGAAGAAAGGCCUGAAAGGGAGAUGACGGUACCUGACUAAGAAGCCCCGGCUAACUACGUGCCAGCAGCAGC